rnacentral:rRNA from 1 species
CCUACGGGCGGCAGCAGUGGGGAAUAUUGGGCAAUGGAGGAAACUCUGACCCAGCAACGCCGCGUGAAUGAUGAAGGUCUUCGGAUUGUAAAGUUCUAUCAGCAGGGAAGAAAAUGACAGUACCUGACCAAGACGCCCCGGCUAACUACGUGCCAGCAGCCGCGGUCAUACGUAGGGGGCAAGCGUUAUCCGGAUUUACUGGGUGUAACGGGAGCGUAGACGGUUAUGUAAGUCUGGAGGGAAAGCCCGGGGCCCAACCCCGGGACUGCUUUGGAAACUGUGUAACUGGAGUACAGGAGGGGCAGGCGGAAUUCCUGGUGUAGCGGUGAAAUGCGUAGAUAUCAGGAGGAACACCGGCGGCGAAGGCGGCCUGCUGGACUGAAACUGACGUUGAGGCUCGAAAGCGUGGGGAGCAAACAGGAUUAGAUACCCCUGUAGUC